rnacentral:rRNA from 1 species
GCUUACGGCCAUAUCAGCCUGGGUACUCCCGAUCUCGUCUGAUCUCGGAAGCUAAGCAGGGUCGGGCCUGGUUAGUACUUGGUUGGGAGACCACCUGGGAAUACCAGGUGCUGUAAGCA